AAAUUUUUAUCUUACUGUGUUUUUUUGUUAAUAUUUGUUUUUUAAUUAAAAUAUUUUUGUUAAUUGGAGUUUUAGUAUAGAAUAUAGAAAAAAUUAUUUAAGUGGUAGUUAAUUAGUAUUGUGAAAGGUUGAUGAAAUAUAAUGAAAAUAUAAUUUUUAAAAAGUAAAUUUUAUUUAUUGUACCUUGUGUAUCAGGGUUUAUCAAAAAAUUUUUUAAAUAUUUAUAUUUCCCGAUUUAAAGAGAGCUAAUCAUUUAUUUUAGUUAAUGUGGAAUAAUUAUUAAUAAUAAAUGAUUAGAAAUGAAACGUUAUCCGUUCUUUAAGAUAUCUGGUUUUUUAAGAAAUGAAUUUAAUUCAGAAAUUAAUAAUUAAUUUUUUAAUUUUAUUAAUUAAUUAUAGUUUAAUUUUAAUAUUAUUGGGGAUAAGCUCAGUAAUAAUAUUUAUAAUUUAUUAUUCAUUAAAGACUUUGUAGGCUUAGAAUUAGCCAGCAAUUAAAGUAUGUUAUAAUUUAGUUUUUAUGAAAUAAAAUUUAUUUAGAUUUAAAUUGUUUAUUAAAAUGUUAUUUAGAAUUAUUUUAGAUUUAGAAUUAAUGAUAAAAUUAGUAUAUGAUAUUAUAUGUAUGAAAUUGAUUAUUUAAUGUAAGGUUACAUUAAGGAAUUAGGCAAAUUAAUGCUCGCCUGUUUAACAAAAACAUGUCUUCUUGAUAAUAAUUUGAAGUCUGACCUGCCCACUGAAAUAAUUUAAAGGGCCGCGGUAUUUUGACCGUGCAAAGGUAGCAUAAUCAUUAGUCUUUUAAUUGGAGGCUAGAAUGAAUGGUUGGACGAGGCAUUGACUGUCUCAGUGUAAAUGAAAUUAGAAUUUAACUUUUAAGUCAAAAGGCUUAAAUAGAUUUAAAGGACGAGAAGACCCUAUAGAGCUUUAUACAAUAAAUUUAUUAUUUAUUUAGAUUGAUUUUUAUAAUAAUUGAAGUUGUAUUUUGUUGGGGUGACAGAAAGAUAAAUUUAACUCUUUUUAUUUAUUUACAUUAAUUUAUGAUUUAUUGAUCCAUUAAUAGUGAUUAUAAGACUAAGUUACCUUAGGGAUAACAGCGUAAUCUUUUUCGAGAGUUCUUAUCGACAAAAAGGGUUGCGACCUCGAUGUUGGAUUAAGGGUAAUUUUGGGUGUAGAUGUUCAAAGUUUAAGUCUGUUCGACUUUUAAAUCCUUACAUGAUCUGAGUUCAGACCGGUGUAAGCCAGGUCGGUUUCUAUCCUUAAAAAAAAUUGAUAUUUUAGUACGAAAGGACCAAGUAUUGGGAAUAAUUUUUCUUUAGUUGUUGAAUAAUAGUAACAAAAU
rnacentral:rRNA from 1 species